rnacentral:rRNA from 1 species
UACGUAGGGGGCUAGCGUUGUCCGGAAUCAUUGGGCGUAGAGCGCGUGUAGGCGGUCCGGUAAGUCCGCUGUGAAAGUCGGGGGCUCAACCCUCGGAUGCCGGUGGAUACUGUCGGGCUUGAGUACGGAAGAGGCGAGUGGAAUUCCUGGUGUAGCGGUGAAAUGCGCAGAUAUCAGGAGGAACACCAAUUGCGAAGGCAGCCCGCUGGGACGUUACUGACGCUGAGACGCGAAAGCGUGGGGAGCAAACAGG